rnacentral:lncRNA from 10 species
CUUGCUUCCUCCCUGUCUCCUUCACAUAAACCAAUGAGUUGUAGAUUUGUUCUCUUUGCCUAAUCUCCUAUCUCUUGGAGAUUUUGUUCAUUCUUUUUAUUUUUUUUUCUUCAAUCUUGUCUGACUGGGUUAUUUUAGAGAGCCAGCCUUUGAGCUUUGUGAUUCUUUCCUUGGCUUGGUCGGUUCUGCUGUUAAUACUCACAUUAUGCAAUUCUUGGAGUGUGUUUUUCAGCUCUAUCAGGUCAGUUUGUUCUUUUUUAAAAAAUGUUUAUUUUAUUUAACAGCUCCUGUUUCAUUUUAUUAUAAUUCUUAGCUUCCUUGGAUUGGGUUUCGACAUUCUCCUGAAUCUUGAUGAUCUUUGUCAUUUUGGCCAUUUCAGCCUGCUAAAGAACCCCUGGUGGGAAAUUAGUGUGUUCAUUUGGAGGAAAGAAGCCACGAUGCCUUUUUGAGUUGUAAGAGUUCUUGUGCUUUUUCUUUCUCAUCAGUGUGGGCUGGUGUUCCUUUAACUAGGGUAUAAAUUGAUUACAGUCAGUAGAUUUCUUUUCUGUGUGUUUUCAGAGGGCCAAGGCUUUGUUCAGUCUUUAUUUGCAGUGAAAUUUUUGUCCUGGGUUUCACAGGGAGGUAUAUUAGCAGAGUAUUUUGGUGUUGAUGUUUUGGGCCGUGAUCCAGUAGGUGGUGCUUAAGCAUAAUUUCCAGUAGGUAGGCUGUUGCUCAGUCAUGUGGCUCUUCACAGUUGUUUCUGUGCUCCCUCUUAGUGCUCUGAAAUCUUGGGCUCCUCUCCCUCUUGAUUGCUGGCUGAAAAUCUUGGCUUGGCACUCCCAAGCUGCACACCACAGCUCUGGGACAAUCUCAAGCUUUAUAUCCCUUCCCAUCUUGGAGGAAUCAGAGGAAGGAAAGUUAGCAGUGGUUGUGACAGAGGGUUUUUCACUUGUCUCUUGGAGCUCCACCUCAGAAAGACGCAGAGCUGCUAUCAAUCAGUAUGAUUGGCCUAGGAUGGGGCAGCUGUGCUGUGAGACCAAAUUAUCCUGCUGUUGCCCAGAAUGGAGCGCAGUGGCAUGAUCUUGGCUCACUGCAAUCACCACCUCCCGAGUUCAAUUAAUUCUCCUGCAUCAGGCUCCUGAGUAGCUCCCAUGGCAGACAUCCAGCUGAUCACACUGUGUCCACAUAAGGCAAAUGCUGAGCUGUAAUCCAUCAAGCUGUUUCCGCAUAGAGAAAAGGCCAUAUGAGUACACAGCCAGAAGGUGUCUGCCUACAAGACAAAGAGGGAAAACUUACCUGAAACCAACCCUGAUGGAUAUUGGAUUUCUAAGCUCCAGAACUAAAAGAAUCAGUUUUAGAUUCUUCCGUCACUACAUUUGCUGCCUCGUACAUUUAAUAUGAUGCUCCAAAAUGAGAAAACUGACAAGCAAGCAGAACAGACAUAAUUGCCUGAGAUUUAACUUCAGAAAGCAAAACUAAGUUUCCAAAAUAUCAAAAAUAUUUUAAGUGUUGUUGUAUUUGUUGUUAUAUUAAUACAUGAUUUGGUUUUAUUGAAAUAAAAUAAUAAAUUUUGUAUGUUCAAGUAUCACUUUUCUUCUGCCUUUAUCAAAUUUCUAAAUUGCUUGCAGGUGCAGCUACAUUCACAACAAAUUCCUUUCCUUGAGGUUAUUCUAAUGGCUCCAAUAAGAGAAAAAAAAUCUUCCUCCUAUUACACUGUAUUAAUGACU